rnacentral:rRNA from 1 species
UACGUAGGGGGCAAGCGUUGUCCGGAUUUAUUGGGCGUAAAGAGCUCGUAGGCGGUUCCGUAAGUCGGGUGUGAAAAAUCUGGGCUCAACCCAGUGGAGCACCGAUACUGCGGUGACUCGAGUCCGGUAGGGGAGUGUGGAAUUCCUGGUGUAGCGGUGAAAUGCGCAGAUAUCAGGAGGAACACCGAUGGCGAAGGCAGGUCUCUGGGCAUUAACUGACGCUGAGGAGCGAAAGCAUGGGGAGCGAACAGG